UACGUAGGUGGCAAGCGUUGUCCGGAAUUAUUGGGCGUAAAGCGCGCGCAGGCGGUCCUUUAAGUCUGAUGUGAAAGCCCACGGCUCAACCGUGGAGGGUCAUUGGAAACUGGGGGACUUGAGUGCAGGAGAGAAGAGUGGAAUUCCACGUGUAGCGGUGAAAUGCGUAGAUAUCUGGAGGAACACCGGUGGCGAAGGCGGCGUUCUGGACUGCAACUGACACUGAGGAACGAAAGCCAGGGGAGCAAACGGG
rnacentral:rRNA from 1 species